AGCAGCCGCGGUAAUUCCAGCUCCAAUAGCGUAUAUUAAAGUUGUUGCAGUUAAAAAGCUCGUAGUUGAAUUUCGAGACCGGUUUACUGGUCGUGCUUUUGUACGUACUGGUAUUAUUGGUUUCUCCUUUCUGACGAAUCAUAAUGCCAUUAAUUUGGUGUUUUGGGGAAUCAGGACUGUUACUUUGAAAAAAUUAGAGUGUUUAAAGCAGGCUCACGCUUGAAUACAUUAGCAUGGAAUAACGAAAUAGGACGUUUGAUUUUAUUUUGUUGGUUUCUAGGAUCGACGUAAUGAUUAAUAGGGAUAGUUGGGGGCAUUAGUAUUCAAUUGUCAGAGGUGAAAUUCUUGGAUUUAUUGAAGACUAACUACUGCGAAAGCAUUUGCCAAGGAUGUUUUCAUUAAUCAAGAACGAAAGUUAGGGGAUCGAAGACGAUCAGAUACCGUCGUAGUCUUAACCAUAAACUAUGCCGACUAGGGAUCGGAUGAUGUUAAUUUUUAAUGACUCAUUCGGCACCGUUAC
rnacentral:rRNA from 1 species